CCCUUGUACCCCAUUGUGGGGAUAAUAUGUUGUUCUUCGCUCUCCUGUUAAAGGUGACUUGGAUCCUGGCUGCAGAUGGGGGUCACCACUGGACAUAUGAAGGUGAGAUCGGAACUGCGCACGGACUGGCACUUACUCCUUUCACCCCAGGACCCCCGCACCUGGCACGAAGACUUGUCCUGGGGGAGGGGAAGAGCUUUUCCUGAGCUUCACCCACUAGCUCCUCUUUUUCUCCCUACACGCACAGACCCCGGGGCUUACACAAGUGGCUGCUAGACCCUGCUGUAAUCAUUAAAUCCCACAUCUCCUGAUUCAGCAAAAAAGCCAAUGCGUCCUCCGUAAAUCCCUGUGGAAAUGAAGAAAACUGGGCGGGGAGAGGCACAAUGAGCGAGCUGGCUGCCAUCCUUCUGGCUCUCUUUCUCCUAAAUAGUCCUACCCCCAACCUGCCUCUGAAACUGGACAGAGCCUGAGGUCAGGAGGAAAAGGCUGGCAGGAUACUGUAACUCUAGGGACAGUGGAACUCAAUCCCUCUGAACUUCUAAUUAAUGACCUAUCUGGAGUCAAAGCAAGGUCCAGUGUGAGAGAAUGUGAAUGACAGAAAGGAUAGCUGAACCUCAAGUCUACUUGAUAGGGUACCCCAAAGAUAUUCCAUCUGUUUAGGCUGUUUGUCCUCUCUGAUUCUACUUCUGCAAGAAUUCAGGCUUUCUGUCUAUUUCCUC